rnacentral:tRNA from 1 species
GCCCUGCUAGCUCAAUCGGUAGAGCGUGAGACUUUUACAACAUCUCAAGGCUGCGGGUUCGAGCCCCGCGUGGGGCU